GUAGGUGGCAAGCGUUGUCCGGGAAUUAUUGGGGCGUAAAGCGCGCGCAGGCGGUUCUUUAAGUCUGAUGUGAAAGCCCACGGGCUCAACCGUGGAGGGUCAUUGGAAACUGGAGAACUUGAGUACAGAAGAGGAAAGCGGAAUUCCACGUGUAGCGGUGAAAUGCGUAGAGAUGUGGAGGAACACCAGUGGCGAAGGCGGCUUUCUGGUCUGUAACUGACGCUGAGGCGCGAAAGCGUGGGGAGCAAACAGGAUUAGAUACCCUGGUAGUCCACGCCGUAAACGAUGAGUGCUAAGUGUUAGGGGGUUUCCGCCCCUUAGUGCUGCAGCGAACGCAUUAAGCACUCCGCCUGGGGAGUACGGCCGCAAAGGCUG
rnacentral:rRNA from 1 species